rnacentral:rRNA from 1 species
ACUCCUACGGGAGGCAGCAGUGGGGAAUCUUAGACAAUGGGGGAAACCCUGAUCUAGCCAUGCCGCGUGAGUGAUGAAGGCCUUAGGGUCGUAAAGCUCUUUCGCCAGGGAUGAUAAUGACAGUACCUGGUAAAGAAACCCCGGCUAAUCUUCGUUGCCAGCAGCCGCGGUAAUACGGAGGGGGUUAGCGUUGUUCGGAAUUACUGGGCGUAAAGCGCGCGUAGGCGGACUAGAAAGUUGGGGGUGAAAUCCCGGGGCUCAACCUCGGAACUGCCUUCAAAACUCCUAGUCUAGAGUUCGAGAGAGGUGAGUGAAUUCCAAGUGUAGAGGUGAAAUUCGUAGAUAUUUGGAGGAACACCAGUGGCGAAGGCGGCUCACUGGCUCGAUACUGACGCUGAGGUGCGAAAAGUGUGGGGAGCAAACAGGAUUAGAUACCCUGGUAGCUACGAG